GUGAGUUUAACACGUAGUUUUCACACACGAUGUGAGCACUUUCAUCUUCAUCUGAAAUGUCAAUCUUUGGUCUUUCCUGAAAAUGCGAAGCAUGAAGCCGCCUGGCUUUGAGAUGGUUAUAACGAUGUCUGAGAACAGAACGUUGGUGACAAAAGACAUGAAUAACACAAUACAUGGAAUAAAACCAACCAAAUUAAUUCCCUGUUCCUUGGAAAAGAACACGAACAUCAUGAUUAUUGCCGGCGUCGUUAUAGUAACAUGGAUCAUGAUAUUUCUAUUCGUGUUGAAAAACAUGGAUAAAAUGAGAAGGAAGAGAAAGAGG